ACAGAGACCUGAUGACACAAUGGUAGUUGGUGCUGCUUAUGAUGGAUGCUACGUAAGAGAAGAGGAUGGAGAGCACCUAAUGGUCCUGCUUCUGGAAGUAAUUGUGAAUGGGACAGUUGAGCAAUACAAGAUGGAGAAGAAAUGCCCAAUACAGAACGAAGCUAUGGAUGCCCCAAGCCCCGACAUCUGC